AACUAAGUUUGUUAUUGGUAUGAGCUUUCGUGUGCAUGCACACUUUUUGAGAUACAUACACUUUUUCAGAUACAUCUGAAGAAGUUUGCAUGCACACGAAAGCUCAUACCAAUGACAAACUUAGUUGG